CAGAUGUAGUUCAUUGGUAGAACCCCAGCUUCCCAAGCUGGUGAGGCGGGUUCGAUUCCCGUCAUCUG
rnacentral:tRNA from 1 species